GCCCUAGUAACGGCGAGUGAAGCGGCAACAGCUCAAAUUUGAAAUCUGGCUUCGGCCCGAGUUGUAAUUUGCAGAGGAUGUUUAUGGUGCGGUACCUUCCGAGUUCCCUGGAACGGGACGCCACAGAGGGUGAGAGCCCCGUCUGGUUGGAUACCAAACCUGUGUUAAACUCCUUCAACGAGUCGAGUAGUUUGGGAAUGCUGCUCUAAAUGGGAGGUAAAUCUCUUCUAAAGCUAAAUACCGGCCAGAGACCGAUAGCGCACAAGUAGAGUGAUCGAAAGAUGAAAAGCACCUUGAAAAGGGGGUUAAACAGUACGUGAAAUUGUUAAAAGGGAAGCGUUUAUGACCAGACUUGUGUCGUGUGGCUCAUCCGAGGUUCUCCCCGGUGCACUCCACACGGCUCAGGCCAACAUCGGUUCUCGUUGGGGGAUAAGAACAGUAGGAACGUGGCCCCUCUCGGGGGGUGUUAUAGCCUAUUGUACGAUACCCUGAUGGGGACCGAGGACCGCGCUUCGGCUAGGAUGUUGGCGUAAUGGUCAUUAGCGACCCGUCUUGAAACACGGACCAAGGAGUCGUCCAUUAGAGCGAG
rnacentral:rRNA from 1 species